rnacentral:lncRNA from 1 species
AGGGUAUGGUAGUAGGUGCCUUUGAACAGGGUAUGGUAGUAGGUGCCUUUGAACAGGGGUAUGGUAGUAGGUGCCUUUGAACAGGGGUAUGGUAGUAGGUGCCUUUGAACAGGGUAUGGUGGUAGGUGCCUUUGAACAGGGGUGUGGGUAGUAGGUGCCUUUGAACAGGGUAGUAGGUGCCUUUGAACAGGGUAGUAGGUGCCUUUGAACAGGGGUGUGGGUAGUAGGUGCCUUUGAACAGGGGUAUGGUAGUGGGUGCCUUUGAACAGGGGUGUGGUAGUAGGUGCCUUUGAACAGGGGUGUGGUAGUAGGUGCCUUUGAACAGGGGUGUGAUAGUAGGUGCCUUUGAACAGGGUCUGGUAGUAGGUGCCUUUGAA